rnacentral:rRNA from 1 species
AACGCGAAAGACUUACCUGGUCUUGACAUCCACAGAACCUGGCAGAGAUGCCGGGGUGCCUUCGGGAACUGUGAGACAGGUGCUGCAUGGCUGUCGUCAGCUCGUGUUGUGAAAUGUUGGGUUAAGUCCCGCAACGAGCGCAACCCUUAUCCUUUGUUGCCAGCGGUUAGGCCGGGAACUCAAAGGAGACUGCCAGUGAUAAACUGGAGGAAGGUGGGGAUGACGUCAAGUCAUCAUGGCCCUUACGACCAGGGCUACACACGUGCUACAAUGGCGCAUACAAAGAGAAGCGACCUCGCGAGAGCAAGCGGACCUCAUAAAGUGCGUCGUAGUCCGGAUUGGAGUCUGCAACUCGACUCCAUGAAGUCGGAAUCGCUAGUAAUCGUGAAUCAGAAUGUCACGGGAAUAC